UAUAGAAAGACCUCCAAUGUUAUUUCUCCUCUCUGUCUUCUUUCACCCUAAGACCUCCAAGGUUCCAGUUGAGAGCUCUUAAUUCUGGACAAACAGCUUGCUCUUGUGCUAUUCGCCUGGGACAGUAACGACCUUACUCUCUGCAGCUGGGGAUUUGAAGAGUCCGGAUAGCUCUACCUCUACUUUAAAGUGAAAUUAGACAGAUGGGUGGCAGUGGUUCAGCGAGCACUUCAAUUGAUAUUGAAGGGCUUUUGAAGGAAGUUCCAGAUAGCAUGCAAACGACCUUGCCGGAAGAGAUGUGUAUCUACCAUGUCCCGGUAGACAUUCGUCAAGUAAAUAAAGAUGCCUAUACCCCUCAGGUGAUUUGUAUAGGCCCAAUUCACCAAA